GUAAUGUCUGGGAAACUGCCUGAUGGAGGGGGAUAACUACUGGAAACGGUGGCUAAUACCGCAUAACGUCGCAAGACCAAAGAGGGGGACCUUCGGGCCUCUUGCCAUCAGAUGUGCCCAGAUGGGAUUAGCUAGUUGGUGAGGUAACGGCUCACCAAGGCGACGAUCCCUAGCUGGUCUGAGAGGAUGACCAGCCACACUGGAACUGAGACACGGUCCAGACUCCUACGGGAGGCAGCAGUGGGGAAUAUUGCACAAUGGGCGCAAGCCUGAUGCAGCCAUGCCGCGUGUAUGAAGAAGGCCUUCGGGUUGUAAAGUACUUUCAGCGGGGAGGAAGGUGUUGUGGUUAAUAACCGCAGCAAUUGACGUUACCCGCAGAAGAAGCACCGGCUAACUCCGUGCCAGCAGCCGCGGUAAUACGGAGGGUGCAAGCGUUAAUCGGAAUUACUGGGCGUAAAGCGCACGCAGGCGGUCUGUCAAGUCGGAUGUGAAAUCCCCGGGCUCAACCUGGGAACUGCAUUCGAAACUGGCAGGCUUGAGUCUUGUAGAGGGGGGUAGAAUUCCAGGUGUAGCGGUGAAAUGCGUAGAGAUCUGGAGGAAUA
rnacentral:rRNA from 2 species